rnacentral:rRNA from 1 species
ACUCAAAUGAAUUGACGGGGACCCGCACAAGCAGCGGAGCAUGUGGUUUAAUUCGAAGCAACGCGAAGAACCUUACCAGGUCUUGACAUCCCGUUGUAAAGCACUUAAUCGUGCUCCUCCCUUCGGGGACAAUGGAGACAGGUGGUGCAUGGUUGUCGUCAGCUCGUGUCGUGAGAUGUUGGGUUAAGUCCCGCAACGAGCGCAACCCUUGUCAUUAGUUGCCAUCAGGUUAUGCUGGGCACUCUAGUGAGACUGCCGUGGACAACACGGAGGAAGGUGGGGAUGACGUCAAAUCAUCAUGCCCCUUAUGAUCUGGGCUACACACGUGCUACAAUGGCCGGUACAGAGGGAAGCCAAACCGCGAGGUGGAGCAAAUCUCCAAAGCCGGUCCCAGUUCGGAUUGCAGGCUGCAACUCGCCUGCAUGAAGUCGGAGUUGCUAGUAAUCGCGAAUCAGAAUGUCGCGGUGAAUGCGUUCCCGGGUCUUGUACACACCGCCCGU